rnacentral:rRNA from 1 species
GUGCCAGCAGCCGCGGUAAUACGUAGGGGGCGAGCGUUAUCCGGAAUUAUUGGGCGUAAAGGGUGCGUAGGUGGUCUGAUAAGCGUGGGGUGAAAGGCAAUAGCUUAACUAUUGUAAGCCUUGCGAACUGUCAGACUUGAGUGCAGGAGAGGAAAGUGGAAUUCCUAGUGUAGCGGUGAAAUGCGUAGAUAUUAGGAGGAACACCAGUGGCGAAGGCGACUUUCUGGACUGUAACUGACACUGAGGCACGAAAGCGUGGGGAGCAAACAGGAUUAGAAACCCCCGUAGUCC